rnacentral:lncRNA from 1 species
UUCAAUCUCCAAAAAGUUAGCAGCAAAGAGGAAGAGAGAUAUUAAAAGGCGCAACAGGCUUAAUUAAGAAACUCACCUUCACAGCAAUUAAUUAAGGGAAAGAAAACGAAAGAGAUGUGGAGCAAGAGGCAAAAGAUAGACAAAGAGUUGAGGUUCAGGCGGUCAUAUCAAAGAAAACUCAAUAUUGCCGCUCUCGUUGAAAACCCCCAAAUAGAGAGAAAAAAGUAUUACUAUAUGAUAAAAGCUGAUUAAUGAAGUAAUUACUGUUAAUUAUUACUAGGGAAAAACAAUAAAAGAAAGCAGAAAGAGACGAAGUGUUGGCUUAGGCUCGUCCUGGUGGUAGUGGUGGUGGUGGUGGUGGUGGUGGUCGAUGACGGUCAAUUUCUUCUUCUUCUUCUAGUUUGGUUGAUUUGUCGUUUGUUUGGUAAAUGUACACGCUUUGAUAAAUUACAAUUUAGACUAAAGAAAUAAAAGGAUUUUGUUUGGUAAAUA